rnacentral:rRNA from 1 species
AUACGUAGGGGGCGAGCGUUGUCCGGAAUGAUUGGGCGUAAAGGGCGCGUAGGCGGCGCGGUAAGUCUGGAGUGAAAGUCCUGCUUUCAAGGUGGGAAUUGCUUUGGAUACUGCCGCGCUUGAGUGCAGGAGAGGUUAUCGGAAUUCCCGGUGUAGCGGUGAAAUGCGUAGAGAUCGGGAGGAACACCAGUGGCGUAGGCGGGUAACUGGACUGCAACUGACGCUGAGGCGCGAAAGUGUGGGGAGCAAACAGGAUUAGAUACCCUGGUAGUCCACACUGUAAACGAUGAAUGCUAGGUGUAAGAGGUAUCGACCCCUUUUGUGCCGGAGUCAACACAAUAAGCAUUCCGCCUGGGGAGUACGGCCGCAAGGUUGAAACUCAAAUGAAUUGACGGGG